rnacentral:rRNA from 1 species
AGAGUUUGAUCAUGGCUCAGAAUCAACGCUGGCGGCGCGCCUAACACAUGCAAGUCGAACGAGAAAGUGGGGCAACCCAUGAGUACAGUGGCGUACGGGUGAGUAACACGUGGAUGAUCUACCUUCUGGUGAGGAAUAACCCUGGGAAACCGGGGCUAAUACCGCAUAAGCACGAGAGUGGAAAGCAGCAAUGCGCCGGAAGAGGAGUCCGCGGCCGAUUAGCUAGUUGGCAGGGUAAAAGCCUACCAAGGCGACGAUCGGUAGCCGGCCUGAGAGGGCACACGGCCACACUGGCACUGAAACACGGGCCAGACUCCUACGGGAGGCAGCAGUGGGGAAUCUUGCACAAUGGGGGAAACCCUGAUGCAGCGACGCCGCGUGAGCGAUGAAGCCCUUCGGGGUGUAAAGCUCUUUCGGCAGGGAAGAUUAUGACGGUACCUGCAGAAGCAGCUGCGGCUAACUACGUGCCAGCAGCCGCGGUAAUACGUAGGCAGCAAGCGUUGUUCGGAGUUACUGGGCGUAAAGGGUGUGUAGGCGGUUGUUUAAGUUUGGUGUGAAAUCUCCCGGCUCAACUGGGAGGGUGCGCCGAAUACUGAAUGACUAGAGUGCGGGAGAGGAAAGUGGAAUUCCUGGUGUAGCGGUGAAAUGCGUUGAUAUCAGGAGGAACACCGGUGGUGUAGACGGCUUUCUGGACCGUAACUGACGCUGAGACACGAAAGCGUGGGUAGCAAACAGGAUUAGAUACCCUGGUAGUCCACGCCCUAAACGAUGCAUAUUUGGUGUGGGCAGCUCAGUCUGUCCGUGCCGGGGCUAACGCGUUAAAUAUGCCGCCUGGGGAGUACAGUCGCAAGGCUGAAACUCAAAGGAAUUGACGG